ensembl:lncRNA
AUUACUGUGGAUCUGUCAGGGCAUUGUGUAAACAAUUUAGUNUAAAAAAAAAAAAAAAAAAAGAAACUGUAUAUGAGAAUUCUUAGAACAGUUGAAUUGGCAAAGAUCCAAAGGUUUGUAAAGAUCUCACUGGUGAAAACGUGGGGAAACCACGCUCCUAUACAUUACUGUGGAUCUGUCAGGGCAUUGUGUAAGGAACAAUUUAGUCACAUGUAUCUAAUAUUUAAAGAAAAAGGGACAGAACAUGAGAGAGAGACUCCUAACUCUGGGAAACGAAUUAGGGGGGUGGAAGGGGAGGAGGGCGGGGGGGGGGGUGACUGGGGGACGGGCACUGAGGGGGGCACUUGAUGGGAUGAGCACUGGGUGUUAUUCUAUAUGUUGACAAAUUGAACACCAAUAAAAAAUAAAUUUAUAUUAAAAAAAGAAAGAAAAAAAAAAAGAAAAAGGGCUGAGGGGACACAUCCUUUACCAUAGAAAUUCUAAGAAUUUUUCCUAUAAGAUAUACCCACGCACGCACACAGUAAUAUCCUCCAGGAUCCUGUAGCAUUAUUCAUAAUAGCAAGCAACUGGAACAAAGGACCAUAUGAGCAAACUGCUGUAUAAAACAAAUUUCAGCGGUUUGGCCCGGUGAAGGAGGCACACGCCACCGCCGCAGGGCAGCGCAGCCGCAGGGAAGCGGGCAGGCAGCUCCCGCCGGGCACAGCCACGGGGACUGAGUGGAGGACACCUGGGAAGACCCAGUCCCGUGACCCUCCCGUAAGCUGGGGCCUGCGUGGACGGCUGACCCAAGUCAGGACCCGGCCACCUCGGCAACUCCUGUGAGUCAGGAAAAUGGGGGUCGAGAACAGGGGAUUCGCCGCGCACCCAUCCUGCUGUAAUUGCAUUUUCUAUCACGUACCAGCUUGUGGGGAGUGGGGGUGCUCCAGGUGUGCAAGGACCCCAGGGAAGUUCACGGCUGCUCAAGGCAGGUGGUGAGGUCAUGGGGGUAAGCACAGCACGGUCUGCCGCGCAGAGGGACCCCUGGAGCUGGGACAGGAGCGGAACGCAGCCGGCGGGGCCGCACUGCGGCACUGAAGGCCACGGCGGCCAAGACCUCAGGCCCAGCUGACCAGCAGCCGCCCCUGAAACUAAACCACGCGACCCAGCAGCGCGAAAACCACGGCCGCGCCUGCGCACCGGGGCUCCCCAGGCCCCGCCCACACGCCGCGCCUGCGCACCGGGGCUCCCCAGGCCCCGCCCAUACGCCGCGCCUGCGCACCGGGGCUCCCCAGGCCCCGCCCAUACGCCGCGCCAGCGCGGGCCCCAACGCCCGGCUCCGCCCUCCCCGGGACGCGCCGUGCACGUGGGCGGGGCCCAGGCUCCAGGCUCCGCCCGCGAGCGGCCUGUGGGCGGAGGCCGUGGUCGCGCCGGCCGGGAGCUGGAGCUGCGAAGGUUCCUCGGUCGCCCUCCCGCUCCCGGGAAACGGAACUCCCUCCGCGGAGGGGCGGAGGGGACUGCAGGAGGGGGACAGCCAUGUAAAGAGAUCUGCAAGAGCUUCCCCGCCCACUCUGUCUUGUGAAAAGGAAACAACUGGUGGUGUUAACUGGGCUGACUCAUGUAUGUAUCCUUUUUUUUUUCUCAGAGAAAGAGAUAAAAGCCCAUUUAAACCUACCAGGAGAGUAAGUAGUGGUUUGUUAAUGUUUAAUUUUGGAUAGGUUUUCAGCAUAUGUGGUGGUCAUUUUGCAUGUAUGGCUCUUUUGUGUACUUAACUGAAAACCUUGAAGAAACUGGCCAACAGAUUAGCCACUGAUCCAAAUCAGAUAGAGCUUAUGUUCCAAGAGCCACCUACCUUCCCCAGCUCCUAGAAAGCUAGCUGGGAGCAAGGCUUACCAAGCCAAACCUCUGUUGACCUUUGUGCCCCAGCCUACUCCCUAUUCUCUGCCUGAUAGCCUUGUUCUAGACUCUCUCUCUUUAAAGGACAAAAAUCAAACUGAAUAACAAUUCAGGUCCUGAGUGGACCUCUAGGGAGGACCUGAUCGACAUAUUUACACUGUGGUGUUAGUGGUGCCCAUGGAAAUGCGAUUUGCCCCUUCGUAAAUUAUCUUAUAGUCUUAGUAUUACUUAGUAUUACCUUAAUUCAGUGAAGUGAAACUGGCCUUUAGGUUUGGGCCUCCAGGUCAUGGAGCCAGGUUGUUCCUGGCUCUGUGCUCCCUAAAUGUUAUUUUCUGUUUGGACUGUUUAUGUUAUGCUGAGCUUGUUGGUGUAUAACUGUAACGAUUAUAGGCAUGUAACUUCAUGUAUUUUUUUGGUUGUCUGAAGUAGUCUUAACAUUAAUAGGGAAAGUGAAGUGAUGGAGCACAUUUGAUGUGGAGACAGAAGCCAGAAAGUCUUGUCUGUACCUUACCACAUGCCAGCUGUGUGAUUACAGACAAGUCUGUUUUCAAAUAUUUCUGGGCCUUGGCGCUGUUGUAUGAUAAUAAGUUGUUGCCUGUUGUGUGGUAUAAGUGCCAGCCUUGAGAGCCUCUGCUAACAGGAUAUAGCUUAUGUAAGGGAUAAUUUUUUUAGUUUAAUAAAAAGCAACUUUUGCCUCA